AGCUCUCAAAGUGCAUAGAAUUAUUGCUGCGGUUAAAAAGCUCGUAGUUGGAUCUGUGCCAUAGGACGUGGUCCACCUUCGGGUGCGUACUACGCUCCUAGGCUUUUUGCUGGUUUUCCCGUCGUAGCCUUCACUGGUUGCGGCGGGUGGCUGGCGAGUUUACUUUGAGAAAAUCAGAGUGCUCAAUACAGGCGUAUCGCUUGAAUGAUUGUGCAUGGAAUAAUAGAAAAGGAUUUCGGUCCUCUUUUAUUGGUUUUGUGGACUGAGAUAAUGGUUAACAGGGACAAACGGGGGCAUUCGUAUCUCUGCGUGAGAGGUGAAAUUCUUGGACCGUAGAGAGACGCCCUACUGCGAAAGCAUUUGCCAAGAAUGUCUUCA
rnacentral:rRNA from 1 species